rnacentral:lncRNA from 10 species
CAUUCAUUCAGUAGACAUUUAUUGCACAUCCAUUAUGUGUUAGAUUUAGAGGAGAAAUUGUGACAUAAGGGUAAUAAUAUUCUAAUUUGCUGGUGCCAGAGAGACUGUAGCAGCAAUGUAUGUAUUCAGUUAUAUACCUGUAAAAGAAGUUUCUUAUCACCUGAAAUAAUCCUUCGUUUGAUAAUGAAUCUUUUGUAACUAUGAUUUUAAUUCACCCAAUUCUUAAUAUUGUUAUCAGGCACUUAAUUAUUUAUUCCUCUUUGAAAAUUUGACUACUGAUUUCCACUUGAUAGUCUCAUUGCUUGGCAAUGGCUAAGUUAAAAAGUGAUUUACAAUUUUUGUUCUUUCAGACUAUGUUAUAGGUGACAUUUUGUUCUUUUAAUAUUAAUUCACACCAAUUAAAUUAUAUUUAAUAAAGGAGUUUUGAUCUCAGGACUUUAA